UCCUGGCUCCAGGGCUCAGCCCUGCCCACUUCUGGAGAAUUCCAUGACUCAGGUAACAGAGGAGGGGCCUAGCCAGUCUCAGAGCCAAGGUCACACCGCCCUACACCUUGCUGUCCCCACAGCAUCUGCAGGAGGAGCAUGCCAGGACCAGAGACCCAGGGAGCAGCCUCACCAGAGGGAAAAGAGCCUGUAGAGUGGUGAGCUCAGGUAACGGGAAUGGCAGGACUGUGGUUGAGCUUUGGGAGCCCGGGAAGGAAGGAUACUGGAGCUGGGCUGAUCCAGGACAGCUUCCUGGAGGAGGCGGGAUUUAAACUGGUCAAUGAGGCUCCACGAAACCCUUCUGGGUGUGAGGUACAGAGCUCAGCACGCUGCUGGUCCUUAAAAAAAGAACCACAUGAGGGCAAUAAUCACGAGAGGACUGUGGUGCUAUGUGAAGAAGAAAUGAAACUCAUCCAUGAUAAUGGAGAUGAAAAUCCUAGUUCUUAGGACGGCCUCAAACUUUAGAAAACCUCACACGGACUCAGGGAGAAGAGAGGGGCUAGGUGGGUGUGCAGAGUCCCCCAGUGGCUUGUUUUCAUUGGAAUAAUAACAUCUUACAUUUCGAUGUGGUAAUGUCGCUGUUAAAACGCACUUCUCAUUGUUAGAAAUAAAAAUGACUCAAAGAUGUGAAAGCUUUUCUCCAUUCAGUGACUUACAUGGGGGUUUUCCCAUGAAGGCCUUAGGAGAGGCUGUGAGGCAGCUUAUGCAAGGCUGCUUUCCGCAUCUCUAAGGAGGGUGGAAUGGGAAAUAAAACCAAUAAACUGUAAACUGCUCUCAGAAGAAUUCCUUCCAGCUGAAUUACAGAAACUUAGGCAAGGCUGCUACUAAGUUUAUGGGCUAGCAGUAAGUUUUCCUGCCCUCAUGGCUUUGGGGAAACUCUGAUGACUAUUCCGCUAGAAGGAGUAAUGAGUCAAAGACUGCCCUUAAAUCCUGCAAAAGAGGAUCUGGAAAAAAUACCUGGCACCCCCAUGACUAUCCUUCCCACCACCUGGUACAACCAGAAGUGAAAAUGCCUCAAGUUGAUGUUGAAACAAUAACUCAUCUCACCCUCCACAAAGGCACAGGACAUCUCUCAGCAACAGAGAUCUUUCCUCUAAUCGGAAAGUACACUCUUUGG
rnacentral:lncRNA from 10 species